GACGAACGCUGGCGGCGUGCCUAAUACAUGCAAGUCGAACGAGAGCGACCGGUGCUUGCACUGGUCAAUCUAGUGGCGAACGGGUGAGUAACACGUGGGUAACCUGCCCAUCAGAGGGGGAUAACAUUCGGAAACGGAUGCUAAAACCGCAUAGGUUCUUUAGUCGCAUGACUGGAGAAGGAAAAGAGGCUUCGGCUUCUGCUGAUGGAUGGACCCGCGGUGUAUUAGCUAGUUGGUGAGGUAACGGCUCACCAAGGCCGUGAUGCAUAGCCGACCUGAGAGGGUGAUCGGCCACAUUGGGACUGAGACACGGCCCAAACUCCUACGGGAGGCAGCAGUAGGGAAUCUUCCGCAAUGGACGCAAGUCUGACGGAGCAACGCCGCGUGAGUGAAGAAGGAUUUCGGUUCGUAAAACUCUGUUGUUAGAGAAGAACAGCGCAUAGAGUAACUAUUAUGCGUGUGACGGUAUCUAACCAGAAAGCCACGGCUAACUACGUGCCAGCAGCCGCGGUAAUACGUAGGUGGCAAGCGUUGUCCGGAUUUAUUGGGCGUAAAGCGAGCGCAGGCGGUCAAUUAAGUCUGAUGUGAAAGCCCCCGGCUCAACCGGGGAGGGUCAUUGGAAACUGGUUGACUUGAGUGCAGAAGAGGAGAGUGGAAUUCCAUGUGUAGCGGUGAAAUGCGUAGAUAUAUGGAGGAACACCAGUGGCGAAGGCGACUCUCUGGUCUGUAACUGACGCAGAGGCUCGAAAGCGUGGGUAGCAAACAGGAUUAGAUACCCCUGUAGUCCACGCCGUAAACGACGAGUGCGAAGUGUCGGAGGGAUUCCGCCCUUCAGUGCUGCAGUUAACGCAUUAAGCACUCCGCCUGGGGAGUACGACCGCAAGGACGAAACUCAAAGGAAUUGACGGGGACCCGCACAAGCGGUGGAGCAUGUGGCUUAAUUCGAAGCAACGCGAAGAACCUUACCAAGUCUUGACAUCCUUCGACCACUCUAGAGAUAGAGCUCUCCCUUCCGGGGACAAAGGGACAGGCGGGGCAUGGGCGUCGACAGCUCGUGACGAGAGAAGGUGGGCCAAGUCCCGCCACGAGCGCGACCCUUAUUACCAAUGGCCAGCAUCAACGUGGGCACUCCAGCGAGACCGCCGGCGACAAACCGGACGAAGGCGGGGACGACGCCCAACCAACAGGCCCCUCAUGACUCGGGCUACACACGGGCGACCAAGGAAGGGCACACCGAGCACCGAACACGCGAGGGUAAGCGAACCCCCUAAAGCCACUCUCAGACC
rnacentral:rRNA from 1 species